rnacentral:rRNA from 1 species
CAGUAGCCACGGGAAUACGGAGGGGGCUAGCGUUGUUCGGAAUUACUGGGCGUAAAGCGCACGUAGGCGGCUUUGUAAGUUAGAGGUGAAAGCCCGGAGCUCAACUCCGGAAUUGCCUUUAAGACUGCAGAGCUAGCAGGUGAGAGAGGUGAGUGGAAUUCCGAGUGUAGAGGUGAAAUUCGUAGAUAUUCGGAAGAACACCAGUGGCGAAGGCGGCUCACUGGCUCAUACUGGACGCUGAGGUGCGAAAGCGUGGGGAGCAAACAGGAUUAGAUACCCGAGUAGUCCCUGUCUCUUAUAA